AUUGAACGCUGGCGGCAUGCCUUACACAUGCAAGUCGAGCGGCAGCGCGGGGGCAACCCUGGCGGCGAGCGGCGAACGGGUGAGUAAUACAUCGGAACGUGUCCUGUCGUGGGGGAUAACCAGUCGAAAGACUGGCUAAUACCGCAUGAGAUCGAAAGAUGAAAGCGGGGGACCGCAAGGCCUCGCGCGAUUGGAGCGGCCGAUGUCGGAUUAGCUGGUUGGCGGGGUAAAAGCCCACCAAGGCGACGAUCCGUAGCUGGUUUGAGAGAACGACCAGCCACACUGGGACUGAGACACGGCCCAGACUCCUACGGGAGGCAGCAGUGGGGAAUUUUGGACAAUGGGGGCAACCCUGAUCCAGCCAUGCCGCGUGUGUGAAGAAGGCCUUCGGGUUGUAAAGCACUUUCGGCCGGAACGAAAUCGCGCGGAUUAAUAACCCGCGUGGAUGACGGUACCGGAAGAAGAAGCACCGGCUAACUACGUGCCAGCCGCCGCCGUAAUAC
rnacentral:rRNA from 1 species